GCUCGUUUAAUAGAGAUGGAAACUAACUACAUAAACCACAUAUCAUAUAUGAUAUCCUAUAUUUCUAGACAUAAUAAUAUUGAUAAAUUAUGAUCACAUAUUCAACAAUUAAAAAAAUAUAAAGAAUUGAAUAUAAAAUAAACUGAAUAAAAAGUAUAUAUGUGAUAGUUAUUCUAGUGAGAAUUUGAACAACAACUAACAAAUUGAUUCCUUGGAUCUUCAAAAAAGAGCUUCCAAUUCAACAAUAAUAACCUGUCUGGAUCGUAAUGUAAGAAAAUGGCAUGAAAUCAUUUUGUUCUUCUAGCGAAAACCUGUUGGAUAGUGGGCAAUUUAGUCCCAGUGGUUGGAGGUUUGGAUUUAGGUGGUGGCCUUGUUGUAGGAGCAAGAACAUUCUGAAUGCUUCUCUUCUGUGAACUCAUUCUGCCAAACACGCCUUCAACUUGGUUUUGGUUUUAAUUUGUGUAUGGACUAUGAAACAUGGGAAUGUAUGUAUUUAUAGG
rnacentral:lncRNA from 1 species